AUUUGUUGUUGUUGUUGUUAUUAUAUAAUUAUUCAGCGUGGUCUUCCGCGAUGAAGUCUGUGAGGCGCCAGAUGAAGCCAGUCUCUGAUCGCCUUUUCUGCAUCAGCUUCACUUGGAUUGGACAGCUGGGGAUUUCUCAUCGCAGACGCUGUACUCACUCCCCACCCUGACUCCUCCUCAGGUUCCCUCCAAACGAGAAAUUCGCAUAUGGAGACAGGUACGUGUCCUACCGAGAGGUGAAGAUGUGAGACCAGUCGGCGGCUCAUAUUGUGGCUGUGACGCUAGAGAAACAAUAUGUCUUCACAUAUUUCAGUUCAGUAGUGCUUUUAUCUUCAAAAGGUAUCCAUUGGAAUUUGAAAACUGAGUGGUAGCAUCCUCUAUCUUUGUGAAUGUGGGCCUGGAAAGGAGCAUUGUAACCAUUUUUGAAACUUACAAUAAUGUACAGGCGGUGUCCAAUUGUUGCUGUCCUCAGGCUCUUGCGUCAUUCUGGGAGGACUGUCAACAAAUGAAUGGAAACUGAAGAGGAACAUGAAAGAAGAAGCAUCACAGUUGUUGGAGUGACAGAGUCUGAUGAUGGCAAUGUUCUCCUUCUAACAAUAGAUCUGGAGGAGCUGAGUGUACCCCCAGGGCUCUUACCUGAAGAGGCUGAUGAGCUAAUUAAAAGGCUGCCAGUGGACCUGUCAGUAACAGCUAAGGGACAACAGGUUACAGAAGUGAAAACACUAGAUCCUGAAAAGUAACAAACAAAGUUCAAAUGUGAUUGCUCUGUUCUGUCAAAGUUGUUCUGUCAGAAUUAAAGUGUUAAAUCGACAAUUUGAAAUGUACAAAUUUAAAUGAUCAUAUCCUAGAUGGUUUCAGAGGUGUUGCAAGUUGAUUUCUAUGUUAUGUCAGGUGGUUGUUAAGGUGUUGCAAGGCAAUUGGUAUGGUAUUCCAGGCAUGUGUGUGUGGUGUGUUCAGUGUGUGGAGUGUGUAUUUUUAGAUUCAUUACA